CAACAAAUAUUUUAAAUUUAAAAUAUUAAUUUUGGGUAUUAAUGAUGUGUAAUGUAUACUUUGUUGA
rnacentral:tRNA from 1 species